AUGUUGAUAUUGUACAGAAGGAACGUUCGGAAAAGAGUGUCGCGAAAAGGAGAAUCAUGACUAGCUUUGGAUCGAAUUUCUGUUUUGACAGAAGAUGAAGACAUUUUACGACUCGGUACUGCGUUGCAUGCAGUGGACUGUGCCCGAGACGAUUCCCACUGCGCCGGCGAAUAGUCAGCUUGUAAAAAUGGAAUCUGAAUGCUCACAAGAAGGACAAAAGCAGUAUGAAAAUUAACACAAAGAAAUUGUGCCAGAAAAGUUUGAAGUGUCUAUGGGAAUGAUCAACAAUGAACAUUGAACUUUCUGAGCCUUUGUACUUAAAGUGAAUCCGUUCGUGACAUGACCAGUCAUUUGGCUACCCUCUAACAUAACGCCAUCUUUUAUUUAUUUAUUAUUGUGAAUUUCAUGGGAUAUCAGUGAGGAAGUGAUUCAAGCAAACACUUGAGAAAUUUCGGAUCUAACUUAAUUAGGAUCUUUGGCAUGUUCGGGGAAAAUAGUAUGUGUUGAUUUAUUGGAUCUUUUUAUUAAUAUAGUUGUGUAGUGGAUAUUUUGUACUUAAUACAUGUGUUUGUCACUCUAGUAAAUGUAAAUGUACAUGGACAACUGGAAGUUCAUUGUAACUGUAUACCCCGUUGAGGUUUCAAUGACCUCUCCCAAUGUCAUUAAGUCAAAUGCCAUAUUUUAAAAAAAGAAAUAGUUUGUUUUAUUACAAAGAAAUGUCAAUCAGUGAGAAUACUUUGAAAAAAUGUGCUUACAUUGUACAUCUAUAAGUGUAUAUGUAAUAUUUGUUUCAAAACACAUUGUAAAAGAAACUAUUUUUUUUUAAUUUUUAAAAUAUAGAUUUGAUCUAUGAUAAAUUGUGAUGUUAUCAUUAUUUCAGUUUUCAUUGUAUCUUCCUGGAAUUUCUUAGAUUUCCAUUGAAUUCCAUAGAUUUCCAAAUAUCCUUGUGCACAAAUAUGUUGGGCCAACAUUGGGCC